GAGUGGGCCUGUCACUAGUACGAGAGGACCGUGAUGGACAGACCUCCGGUUACGUUGUGCCGCAGGUGCACCGCCGGUAGCUGAGUCUGGUUCGGAUAAGCGCUGAAAGCAUCUAAGCGCGAAGCCGGCCGCAAGAUGAGAACUCCUUAUAAGGGUCGUCCUAGACCAGGACGUUGAUAGGGUGCAGGUGUAAAGACGGCGACGUCAAAGCCAAGCACUACUAAUUGCCCAAAAACUUUCAUAUA
rnacentral:ncRNA from 1 species